UACAGAGGGUGCGAGCGUUAAUCGGAAUUACUGGGCGUAAAGCGUGCGUAGACGGUUAUUUAAGUCGGGUGUGAAAGCCCCGGGCUCAACCUGGGAAUUGCAUUCGAGACUGAAUAGCUAGGGUACGGUAGAGGGAAGUGGAAUUUCCGGUGUAGCGGUGAAAUGCGUAGAUAUCAGGAGGAACACCGGUGGCGAAGGCGGUUCUCUGGGGCAUGAUCUGACGCUGAGGAGCGAAAGUGUGGGGAGCGAACAGG
rnacentral:rRNA from 1 species